rnacentral:rRNA from 1 species
UACGAGGGGGGCGAGCGUUGUUCGGAAUUAUUGGGCGUAAAGGGCGCGUAGGCGGUUACUCAAGUCGGAUGUGAAAGCCCUCGGCUUAACUGAGGAAGUGCACCCGAAACUGAGUAGCUAGAGUACUAAAGAGGGUCGCGGAAUUCCCGGUGUAGAGGUGAAAUUCGUAGAUAUCGGGAGGAACACCGGUGGCGAAGGCGGCGACCUGGGUAGAUACUGACGCUGAGGCGCGAAAGCGUGGGGAGCAAACAGG